rnacentral:rRNA from 1 species
AUUGAACGCUGGCGGCAUGCCUUACACAUGCAAGUCGAACGGUAACAGGUCUUCGGAUGCUGACGAGUGGCGAGCGGGUGAGUAAUACAUCGGAACGUGCCUAGUAGUGGGGGAUAACUACUCGAAAGAGUGGCUAAUACCGCAUGAGAUCUACGGAUGAAAGCAGGGGAUCGCAAGACCUUGUGCUACUAGAGCGGCCGAUGGCAGAUUAGGUAGUUGUUGGGAUAAAAGCUUACCAAGCCGACGAUCUGUAGCUGGUCUGAGAGGACGAUCAGCCACACUGGGACCGAGACACGGCCCAGACUCCUACGGGAGGCAGCAGUGGGGAAUUUUGGACAAUGGGCGAAAGCCUGAUCCAGCAAUGCCGCGUGCAGGAUGAAGGCCUUCGGGUUGUAAACUGCUUUUGUACGGAACGAAAAGCUCUGGGUUAAUACCCUGGGGUCAUGACGGUACCGUAAGAAUAAGCACCGGCUAACUACGUGCCAGCAGCCGCAGUAAGAC